AGUAUAAACCCUAACUGCCGGAAGAAAUUUCCAUCUGCUUUUCACUGACGUCGCUGAUACUGUCGUUCAUCACCUACAGUCGCGGAUCGCUGACCAUCCGCAGCGUCUUACAUUGCCAUUCUAUGCCGCCGGGUCCUUAGCCCAACGGCUGUUUGUCACACUUGUCACAUAAUUCUCGCUACCGCCGCCUGUCGUUGCCCAUCUCCGUCCAUAGGACAACCAUCAACGCACCGCUCCAAACACGAUCCGUAUCUGAAGGGAGAAUUCCUAGUCGCCACAGUUUUCUCCUCUGUUUUCAUUUCACUUGUGCCGCCCCACACCCUCGAUCUUGUAUUGAUUUGUCGCCGCCACUACCACCGGCUGCCGACUGCCGCGGCUCAAUUUCUGAAGGGUGUUUCGUUUGUGAAAGUGAAAAGGAAAAAAGAAAAAGAUAUCCGAACAGCCAAUCAGUGAGGACUGAAUUGAGUGAAAGUUCUUGCAUCUGAUAUCAUUCUCAAUCUCCAGGCCUGGCUUGAUAGCUGUUCUGAGUUCUUAGUCACUACGAAACUUAGAUGCUGGGCAUUUCAUAUGGAGAACUCCUCCUCCUUAUUGGGGCUACUGCUGCCUUCAUUGGGCCAAAGGAUCUCCCACGGAUUGCGAGAAUGGCGGGAAGGAUGGCUGGAAAAGCAAUCGGAUACGUUCAGUUAGCUCGAGGUCAGUUCGACUCUGUCAUGCAACAAACCCAAGCUCGUCAGGUUCACAAGGAAUUGCAAGACACUAUGGCUCAGAUUGAUGCUAUUCGUCAUGAAAUUCGAAGCAUAUCGUUCUUGAAUCCCGGGACAUUGACUCAGAGGCUUGUGGACAAUCCUGAGCUGAAAGCAGCUGAUAGUGGUGUAACUAGUGAUUCAGCAACAGAAAAACCUUCUGUGCCACCAACAGCUGAGGGUACUACACCAGCAGCUAACAUCCUCAAGGUUGCAACUUCACAAAUAUCGAUCGAGCACAGCCGAGCGACUACAUUUGCCAAAUUGGCUGAAUCACCGACCAUAAGGAAUGGUUCCUCUGCCUCAUUUCCAGUUGCUACAGAUGUAGAGAAGCCUAAUGAUGAGCUCGGGGUUCCUUCUGUUUUACCUGUAUCUGCUGAAAAUGCUGGGAUGUUACCUAAACGCCCGGUGGAGUUAAAAGGGUCUGACAUAAUGUUAGAAGCAGUAUUGGAAGCAGAGGUGGCUAACAGUGCAAAAGAAUUUUUCUCGCAUCAUCAAAUUCAAACGAAACAGGAACAAGAAUCAUAAUUUCAUUGAUGAAUGGUCUAUAAAUGAAGUUCAGAAUGUUCAAAAAGCGUACCCCAGUUUCAUGGAUUUUUCUACCCCUAAUUUGUGUUUUCAACGGUGCAUCUUCUUAGAACAUGGGAGGAUAAUAUAUUGUUCGUUUGAUGGUACAUACUCGUAUCAUGGGAGCUGUUUGUUUAAUCAUUUUCGAAGGGUUUGACGUCGAAACGCUCCGAUGUCAAACUAGGAAGGUUUGGAAUCUCUUAAACCAAGUUUGAAUCGAUAUUUCAGCAAUCAAUAUUAUAGC